rnacentral:rRNA from 1 species
AUUGAACGCUGGCGGCAUGCCUUACACAUGCAAGUCGAACGGUAACAGGUCUUCGGAUGCUGACGAGUGGCGAACGGGUGAGUAAUACAUCGGAACGUGCCUAGUAGUGGGGGAUAACUACUCGAAAGAGUGGCUAAUACCGCAUGAGAUCUACGGAUGAAAGCAGGGGAUCGCAAGACCUUGUGCUACUAGAGCGGCCGAUGGCAGAUUAGGUAGUUGGUGGGAUAAAAGCUUACCAAGCCGACGAUCUGUAGCUGGUCUGAGAGGACGAUCAGCCGCACUGGGACUGAGACACGGCCCAGACUCCUACGGGAGGCAGCAGUGGGGAAUUUUGGACAAUGGGCGCAAGCCUGAUCCAGCAAUGCCGCGCGCAGGAUGAAGGCCUUCGGGUUGUAAACUGCUUUUGUACGGAACGAAAAGCCCUGGGUUAAUACCCUGGGGUCAUGACGGUACCGUAAGAAUAAGCACCGGCUAACUACGUGCCAGCAGCCGCCGUAAUAC